GUUAAACCCGUGAAAUUUGAUUGAAUUCUGUAAAUGAUGAAAAUGUUAUUUUUAAACCGAUAGAAUUUGAUUGAAUUAUGUGAAUGAUAAAAAUGUUGUUGUUAAACCCAUGAAAUUUGAAUGAGUUGUUUGUAUAAUGAAAAUGUUGUUGUUAAACCCAUGAAAUUUGAUUGAAUUGUUGGAAUAAUGAAAAUGUUGUUGUUAAACAUAUGAAAUUUGAUUGAAUUGUGUAAAUGAUGAAAAUGUUGAUGUUAAACCCAUGAACUUUGAUUGAAUUGUGGGAAUGAUGAAAAUGUUCCUGUUAAAUCCAUGGAAUUUGAUUGAAUUUUGUGAAUGAUGAAAAUAUUAUCGUUAAACCCAUGAAAUUUGAUUGAGUUGUGUGAACGAUAAAAAUGUUGUUCUUAAACCCAUGAAAU
rnacentral:lncRNA from 1 species